UACGGAGGGGGCGAGCGUUGUCCGAAGUUACUGGGCGUAAAGCGCGCGUAGGCGGGAGGCCAAGUCCGCUGUGAAAUCCCGGGGCUCAACCCCGGAACUGCAUUCGAAACUGCCUUGCUCGAGUACUGGAGAGGAGACUGGAAUUUACGGUGUAGCAGUGAAAUGCGUAGAUAUCGUAAGGAAGACCAGUGGCGAAGGCGAGUCUCUGGACAGUUACUGACACUGAGGCACGAAGGCCAGGGGAGCAAACGGG
rnacentral:rRNA from 1 species